rnacentral:rRNA from 1 species
CCCCCGCGGGACCGGACCCGGCGCCCGCCGGAGGAUAACCAAACUCUAUUGUAACGACGUUUCUUCUGAGUGGCAUAAGCAAAAUAAUCAAAACUUUUAACAACGGAUCUCUUGGUUCUGGCAUCGAUGAAGAACGCAGCGAAAUGCGAUAAGUAAUGUGAAUUGCAGAAUUCAGUGAAUCAUCGAAUCUUUGAACGCACAUUGCGCCCGCCAGCAUUCUGGCGGGCAUGCCUGUUCGAGCGUCAUUUCAACCCUCAAGCUCUGCUUGGUGUUGGGGCUCUACGGUCGACGUAGGCCCUCAAAGGUAGUGGCGGACCCUCCCGGAGCCUCCUUUGCGUAGUAWCAUUUCGUCUCGCACUGGGAUCCGGAGGGACUCUUGCCGUAAAACCCCCCAAUUUUC